rnacentral:rRNA from 1 species
GAUGAACGCUAGCUACAGGCUUAACACAUGCAAGUCGAGGGGUAACAAGAGGAAAGCUUGCUUUUCUUGUUGACGACCGGCGCACGGGUGAGUAACGCGUAUCCAACCUGCCUAUAACUAGGGAAUAACCUUGCGAAAGUACGACUAAUACCCUAUGAUUUACUUUGAUGACAUCAGAUUAGGAAUAAAGAUUUAUCGGUUAUAGAUGGGGAUGCGUCGGAUUAGCGUGUUGGCGGGGUAACGGCCCACCAAGGCAACGAUCAGUAGGGGUUCUGAGAGGAAGGUCCCCCACAUUGGAACUGAGACACGGUCCAAACUCCUACGGGAGGCAGCAGUGAGGAAUAUUGGUCAAUGGGCGGAAGCCUGAACCAGCCAAGUAGCGUGCAGGGUGACGGCCCUAUGGGUUGUAAACUGCUUUUAUACAGGAAUAAAGUUAGCCACGUGUGGUUAUUUGUAGGUACUGUAUGAAUAAGGACCGGCUAAUUCCGUGCCAGCCGCCGCCGUAA